CAUGCAAGUCGAACGGUAACAGGAAACAGCUUGCUGUUUCGCUGACGAGUGGCGGACGGGUGAGUAAUGUCUGGGAAACUGCCUGAUGGAGGGGGAUAACUACUGGAAACGGUAGCUAAUACCGCAUAACGUCGCAAGACCAAAGAGGGGGACCUUCGGGCCUCUUGCCAUCGGAUGUGCCCAGAUGGGAUUAGCUAGUAUGUGGGGUAACGGCUCACCUAGGCGACGAUCCCUAGCUGGUCUGAGAGGAUGACCAGCCACACUGGAACUGAGACACGGUCCAGACUCCUACGGGAGGCAGCAGUGGGGAAUAUUGCACAAUGGGCGCAAGCCUGAUGCAGCCAUGCCGCGUGUAUGAAGAAGGCCUUCGGGUUAUAAAGUACUUUCAGCGGGGAUGAAGGGAGUAAAGUUAAUACCUUUGCUCAUUGACGUUACCCGCAGAAGAAGCACCGGCUAACUCCGUGCCAGCAGCCGCGGUAAUACGGAGGGUGCAAGCGUUAAUCGGAAUUACUGGGCGUAAAGCGCACGCAGGCGGUUUGUUAAGUCAGAUGUGAAAUCCCCGGGCUCAACCUGGGAACUGCAUCUGAUACUGGCAAGCUUGAGUCUCGUAGAGGGGGGUAGAAUUCCAGGUGUAGCGGUGAAAUGCGUAGAGAUCUGGAGGAAUACCGGUGGCGAAGGCGG
rnacentral:rRNA from 1 species